UAGCUCAGUUGGUAGAGCAUGGUGUUUGCAACGCCAGGGUUGUGGGUUCGAUUCCCUC
rnacentral:tRNA from 1 species